GCGCUGAGCUGGCCGAAGAGGCAUAAUACACAAGGCGGGGAUCGGUCUGGUCCUCCUCUGUGUGCUGUCGGUCCCGCUACCACAACCCUUGAUCCGACUGGGGCUUAGAUAUGAAAUGAACUCCCUAUGCCUAAGCCAACCCAUAAAACGGGCAUACGGGCACUCCGUCAGCCGGAGAGGCAAAAUGCGCAACCUGGGGAUCGGCCCGGUCCCCCCUGCGUGCUACUUAUCCUGCUGUCGCAACCCUCGG
rnacentral:lncRNA from 1 species